rnacentral:rRNA from 1 species
AACGAACGCUGGCGGCAGGCCUAACACAUGCAAGUCGAACGCUCCGCAAGGGGAGUGGCGCACGGGUGAGUAACACGCGGGAACCUACCUUCUGGUACGGAACAACCAAGGGAAACUCUGGCUGAUACCGUAUACGACCUCCGGGUGAAAGAUUGAUCGCCGGAAGAGGGGCCCGCGUCCGAUUAGGUAGUUGGUGAGGUAACGGCUCACCAAGCCUGCGAUCGGUAGCUGGUCUGAGAGGANGACCAGCCACACUGGGACUGAGACACGGCCAGACUCCUACGGGAGGCAGCAGUGGGGAAUAUUGGACAAUGGGCGCAAGCCUGAUCCAGCAUGCCGCGUGAGUGAUGAAGGCCUUCGGUU